AUUGAACGCUGGCGGAACGCUUUACACAUGCAAGUCGAACGGUAACGUGGGGAGGAGCUUGCUCCGCCCCGACGACGAGUGGCGAACGGGUGAGUAAUACAUCGGAACGUGUCCGCUCGUGGGGGACAACCAGCCGAAAGGUUGGCUAAUACCGCAUGAGUUCUACGGAAGAAAGAGGGGGGACCCGCAAGGGGCCUCUCGCGAGCGGAGCGGCCGAUGACUGAUUAGCCGGUUGGUGAGGUAACGGCUCACCAAAGCAACGAUCAGUAGCUGGUCUGAGAGGACGACCAGCCACACUGGGACUGAGACACGGCCCAGACUCCUACGGGAGGCAGCAGUGGGAAUUUUGGACAAUGGGCGCAAGCCUGAUCCAGCUAUUCCGCGUGUGGGAUGAAGGCCCUCGGGUUGUAAACCACUUUUGUAGAGAACGAAAAGACAUCUUCGAAUAAGGAUGUUGCUGACGGUACU
rnacentral:rRNA from 1 species